UUCAAUAAUAUUGGUGUCCAAAUUCAGU
rnacentral:piRNA from 1 species